UACGUAGGAGGCGAGCGUUGUCCGGAAUUAUUGGGCGUCCAGAUCUUGUAGGUGGCUCGUCGCGUCGGGAGUGAAAACCCGCGGCUUAACCGCGGGCCUGCUUUCGAUACGGGCGGGCUAGAGUUCGGCAGGGGAGACUGGAAUUCCUGGUGUAGCGGUGGAAUGCGCAGAUAUCAGGAGGAACACCGGUGGCGAAGGCGGGUCUCUGGGCCGAUACUGACGCUGAGGAGCGAAAGCGUGGGGAGCGAACAGG
rnacentral:rRNA from 1 species